AUUUGCUAUGAUUUGAAAGACCCCCCGAGCAGGGAGACCCUCACUCAAGUCUCGGGAUGAUGCGACCCCCCAAGAACUCACAUGAGACU
rnacentral:pre_miRNA from 14 species